UACGAAGGGGGCUAGCGUUGCUCGGAUUGACUGGGCGUAAAGGGCGCGUAGGCGGUUCGUACAGUCAGACGUGAAAUUCCUGGGCUCAACCUGGGGGCUGCGUUUGAUACGUGCGGACUUGAGUGCGGAAGAGGGUCGUGGAAUUCCCGGUGUAGUGGUGAAAUGCGUAGAGAUCGGGAGGAAUACCUGUGGCGAAGGCGGCCUACUGGGCCGGACCUGACGCUGAGACGCGAAGGCGUGGGGAGCGAACGGG
rnacentral:rRNA from 1 species